rnacentral:rRNA from 1 species
AAACUUGAGAGUUUGAUCCUGGCUCAGAACGAACGCUGGCGGCAGGCUUAACACAUGCAAGUCGAGCGCCCCGCAAGGGGAGCGGCAGACGGGUGAGUAACGCGUGGGAAUCUACCUAUCUCUACGGAACAACUCCGGGAAACUGGAGCUAAUACCGUAUACGCCCUUCGGGGGAAAGAUUUAUCGGAGAUAGAUGAGCCCGCGUUGGAUUAUCUAGUUGGUGGGGUAAUGGCC